CCCAGGCGCAGACCUGCUGCCGAAGAUGUCCUCUGGGAACAGAAUGUCUGGUUGUUUCUGUUUCAUUAUCCUUUGUCUCCCUUCCUGCGAUGUCCUUUGCUUUGCUUUUAUUUCGGCUUAUUUCGGUUUUCAUCCAGCUCUCCAAUCUCUGAUUGUAUCCCGUUAUCAGUAAGGCUAAAAGCACAGCACCAAAGGCGGUGAACCAGGUCACAUCCUCGGCAGCAGUAAGAGCCCUGUGUCCCGUCCUUAUGGUGCUUUGGCCCUGGAGCCAAGGGUCAACUUUGCUCGUUUCCUAAGGCCUUGAACAAGGGGUCAACCUGGCCACCAGGUGAAUGGGGUGCAGAGGCAGGCUGCAGGUGGGAUUCAGGUUGAGCCCACACAUCUCUUACCCAGCCCUGAGAACCCAGAUUCUUCACACUCACCAGGAGUUCGUUUCGGGGCCAUAACCCAGCAACAGUCAUGUACCUUUUGGGCAGAGGGACCCACACUCCACUCCCUCCCCUCUGGAGGCCUAAGUGGACUCCUGGAAGCCUGCCCACUUUUGUGGAGACUCGAAGGUCCCUGGAGGCCUGGAGCCACUUCAUCAUCCCCAUGAGGUGCAUGGGCACCCCUAAAGUUCCUGCCAACUCUGGGAAGGAAAAGAGCAGCUCAUCUCUUGGCUCCACUCGACAAACAAGACAAUGGGGCUAGUUGGCGUGUUACCCAUCCAAGCAGAGUUCAGCCCUGUCACGUGGCCCUCAGUCCUGCCACACAGCACUGCUCUACCAGCUGCAGGGCCUCUGUGCCUGGACAGCAGGUACCGUGCAAGGAGCCAGAGCUGAGUGUGAGUGCACGUGCAGCCCUGCUGACCCAGGCUGUAGGCCAGUCCACCUCCACCUCUACGGCUCACCUGGCUGUACCCUCGAGCUCAGCCCACGGCACAGGAGCACACUUUUACCUCGUGGUGAGCCGGGAUGUGGGGAGCAGGCACACUAAAUCCUGCCCACAAUCCACGUUGCUCCUGAAGCCUUCCGCACACCCCAGAAGGGCUGCAGGAGGACUGCUCCCCAGCUGCCUGGCUGCCGCUUCCACCACCCACUAUCCGGUCUGUCACCUGACCUAUCAAAUACUUGGGGUAGGUGGGGCCGGGCCUGUGGGGCCCCAAGAUUCUGAGAGCAAGCAGAACCCAGAGAAGAUCAGGAGGCAAGAGGCCAGGGCCUGCGCAGCUGCUCUGGUGAAAACAAAGGAAAACACAAAACAAAACAAAGUGCUCUGGACUUCACUCUCCUCCCUUUUGACAUCAGAAUUAUAUCCAUCACAGCCAGGAGUGGUGGUGCACAUCAGCUCCGGGGGCUGAGGCAGGAGGAUCAAGAGUUUGAGAGACGCUGGAGCUCCCCCGGACCUGGUUCUGCAGUUCCUUCUGGGUGGCUUCUCCUUCCCCAGGAACCUGGUCCAGGCCACCCUCCCAGGCCCCCUGCCCACAGCUGGAAGCAGGGAUGAGCACAAGGACUGUGGCUGGCCCCUGCUCUUCUCUCUGCAGGCAGCUCUGCAGGACAUGAAGACUAAACUUAGAAUGACUGUGGUUUGGUCCUGAGCCUCCCACCGUGACCAGCCUCCCUCUAACCUCACUGGAGGUCGGAAGAGCCUGGCAGGGGAUGCCCGUCUCCAGGUCCCCGAGAGGAGACCCAGCCAGCUGAGCUGCAUGUGGACACAGGGUCUCUCGAAGUUUCCCAGGCUAGAUUCUGCUUCAGCCUUCCAGAAUGCUGAGGUCACAGGAUCUGCUCAGGAGCCCACAGUGGUGGUCUGAAGUCCUUUUUGGAGUGAAGAGACAGAAACGAUGACAGAGAGAUGGGGCAGAGCAGCUGAAACAGGUGCACUACGGUCAACAGGAGGAACAGGUACGUAGUGGAGAGUCCACCAACCUGGACCUCGGGUCUUCAAAAUGAUUAAUAUCAUUGAUACAGAAGCAAAGAGAGAGGAGGCUCAAGCCCAGCCCGGGGAAGUCAGUGAGGCCCUGCCACAAAAUCAAAAGGACUGAGGAUGCUUCUUAGUGCAAAAAUCCUGAGUUCAUUCCUGGGGGGCGGGGGUGCGGGGAGAAGAAAGAGGAGGAGGAGGAGGAGGAGGAGGAGGAGGAGGAGGAAGGGAGAGAGAAAGGGAAGGAAAAGGAAAAAACUCACCCAUCACUACUGCUACUGGGAGGAUGGGACAAGCAGCUCUCCUGUGAGCACAUUGGUGCCUGAGGUGCACACUCUACCGCAAGGGCAGCUAUGAAACCCCACAAGGUCCUACACACAUUGCAGAAACCCAAUCUAGUAAACCCUGCCUCUCUACAGAGAGGAGAGCAGUGCGUUCCCGAGACUGCUAACCCAAUGCACCAGGCCAACACCUGCGAGCCACAGGCUGCACAAGCCAGCACAGGGACCUGGCUGUGCCCCUCACGAUAUUACCAGGAGGCCCGGGCAGGUAUGACCCAAGGGUGCAUGACACAGGAUGCAUCACGGCCAAGAAAAGCUAUCUCAGGAGCAAGAGCCUUGUUUAAUAUUCAGCAGUCCAUCAGUGUAAAUGCAAAAGAAAGGAGGAAAACUACAUGAUCAACGCAACAGAUGGAGAAAAAGCAUUCCAUAAAGUUCGAUCUGUUGAUGAUAAAACUCUCAGCAAACUGAAGCAGAAGCUUCCUCAUCUUGACAAAGGUGCCUGGAAAAUCCAUAGCUAACAUCAGGCCUGACUGGGGGAGGCCCACACAGUCACAGGCACUGGGACAAGAAAGUGCAGCAGCUGAGGGUGACCACACAACCGUGGCUGAUGUCAGGGGAGACACGGAACUUUGGCCCUGCCAUCCACCACACACGUACAAGAAUUGGAAAUGGGUCACAGAUCCGAAGGGAGCAGAGAAGGGAUGCAAACAUCAGGAGGCUUCCAGAGAAUGGGCAGGAAAGAGUCUUCUGACCUUGGCAUUGGUGAAGAGGGCGGGUAAAAGUAACACCAAUGGUAAAAUUAAAAAGUGAAAGAUUAAACCUCAUCAAAAUCAAAAGACACCAUUAAGAAAGCUGAAUAGCAAGCCAUGGUCUGGCAAAAAUAUUUGCCAUACAUCUGUGAGACAGAGGACGUCUAUCUAGAAUAGAUAAAAACUGCAAGUAAUAAGAAAAAGAAAAACAACCUAAUAAAACUGGCAAAGACAAGCAGACAGUUCACACAGGAGCACCUCCGAAGUAGCCAGUGCGGGUGUUAAAAAGGGCAUAACAUUGAUACUCAUCAGGGGAAUGCAAAUUAAAAGCACAAUGAAAAGAAGCCACUGCACACCCAGUAGGACGGCUAAAGUUAAAAAGACCGAUAUUGGGCUGGGGAUUUAGCUCAGUGGGUCCACCGCCUGCCUCGAAAGCAGAGGGACCCGAGUUCUAGCCCCUGCACCAAAGAAACAAAAACAAAAGGCUGAUAUUACCAAGUCUUGGCAAGGACUGAGCAGUGAGAACUCCCACACGCUGGAAAUGGCGCGACCACUUCAGAAAGCAUCUUGCCAGUUUCCAGCAGACGUGGAUGUGUGUCCACCUGGCAGCCCAGCACUUCUGUUUCCAGAUGGAUCAUGUCUACUUUGAGCUUUGUGCCUCAUUGAGGCACGCUGGACAUGUACCACACUGCACACUGCAUUUGAGAGGACAGUUUGUGGAGUUGGACCCAGGUCCCCCAUGAAACCACAUCUGGAUACAGAGAAGGAACACACCCACCGCCCGGCAGGUUCCCUUCUCCUGGUGAUCCCUCCACCCUGACCCCCUGGACCCCAGACAGACAGGGU